ACCUCCGUAGCUCAGCGGCAGAGCAGAGGCCUUUUAAGCCUAUGAGCGCAGGUUCGAGUCCUGCCGGGGGUACCA
rnacentral:tRNA from 1 species